UGGGGAAUAUUGCACAAUGGGGGAAACCCUGAUGCAGCAACGCCGCGUGAGUGAAGAAGUAUUUCGGUAUGUAAAGCUCUAUCAGCAGGGAAGAAGAAAGACGGUACCUGACUAAGAAGCCCCGGCUAACUACGUGCCAGCAGCCGCGGUAAUACGUAGGGGGCAAGCGUUAUCCGGAUUUACUGGGUGUAAAGGGAGCGUAGACGGCUGUGCAAGUCUGAAGUGAAAGCCCGUGGCUCAACCGCGGAACUGCUUUGGAAACUGUAUAGCUUGAGUACUGGAGAGGCAGGCGGAAUUCCUAGUGUAGCGGUGAAAUGCGUAGAUAUUAGGAGGAACACCAGUGGCGAAGGCGGCCUGCUGGACAGAAACUGACGUUGAGGCUCGAAAGCGUGGGGAGCAAACAGG
rnacentral:rRNA from 1 species